CAUAGUAUGGGUCCUAUCAAAUUUGCUAGGAUACGUUGAUAUGUAAUUGGUGGAGGGAAAAGGACCAGGGGAGUGUUGGGGCACCAAAGGAUCCAACUUGGGCCCUAGUUUAUGGGUCAUGACAUCACACACUCUCCCCCACUCCCGGCCUUGGAACCUGACUUAUGGUAGCAACAGAAGUCAGGUUCUGAGACCUCAUGAGACCUUGAAAAGUUUAUCUGAGGCCUUGUGAGGCCUUGUAGAUGGUUUUUGACCUCCCAUGACGUCUCAGACAUCAGGUUCUGAGGUCUCAGAAGGCUUCAGAAAGCAUCUCCGAGGCCGUGCAAGACCUCGGAAAUUGCAAGGGGGCCCUGUGGGGUGACGUUAACAUAUGAGAGUGCUGGAGGUGAAAUAGUUAAACAGGUUACCCAAUCAGAACCCAGGGGGUGGAGUCAGAGGGACUAUAAAACCAGCUCUGGGAGGGGCGAAGGGAGGAGUUCGUUGGGAGUUGAGUGGUUGGUUGGAGUGGGAGUGAAUUGGGAUAGAGUCUGUGGGUAGGUUGAGUUAGUGUAGUGAAAUAAGCUGAGUCAGGAACAGUUAGGAGCUAGGAAGACAAGUACCAUAUUUUUUGCUCUAUAAGACUCACUUUUUCCCUCCUAAAAAGUAAGGGGAAAUGUGUGUGCGUCUUAUGGAGCGAGUGCAGGCUGUGCAGCUAUCCCAGAAGCCAGAACAGCAAGAGGGAUCGCUGCUUUCACUGCACAGCGAUCGCUCUUGCUGUUCUGGCUUCUGGGAUUCAGAAUACUUUUUUUCUUCUUUUCCUCCUCCAAAAACUGGGUGCGUCUUAUGGUCUGGUGCAUUUUAUAGAGCGAAAAAUACGGUAAAUAUCUGAGAGGUGGUUUAGUGAGUGAGAGCAGGUAGCGGAAGUUAUAGGUCUGGAUAGGCACCCCAUGACUGUAAUGGACCAAUACCGUUUAUGAAACCACAUGCUUGUUAAACUGCAAUAAAUAAACAGAAGUUUAUGUUCCAAUUUAACCCUGACUGGACUCAGUAUUGUACCAGGUAGGGCCUGGGUGGUGGCAAGGAGAAAUAAAGUGGUGGCACCGGGAUCAAUAGACGGACCCUGUGUGAUCGCCACAUGUGGUGAGGGUGCCGAGCACCCACAACAAAAGCUUUGUAGGUGCACAGGCACCCAGAGCCCCCCAUAUGUGGCGCCCCUGCAUGGCACUUUUUCUUUCCCCACUUGUCAAUUCUCCACUGCAAAUCGCACCACCCCCCUCUUGUUUCUCCACCAGAUCCCCUCCUCUGCCCCACAGUUGCUCUUCCCCUGCAGGAUUCCAGAAGCAUCUUUGACUUGCUGACAAGCAAGUAAUGAAUAAUGGUGAAAGCUCUUUCCCAAUCCCAUGACAGCUCCUGAUCUUUUUGUCUCGUCGGUUUCAGCCAACAUAAAGAAGAAACACAGGUCAUUUUUUGUUCUGUUACCAGGCAGGCUUCUGGGGAAAUUUAACCUUCUCAGUGUGUGUUGGCUUGCUUAGUUGGCACAAAGAAGUAAAUAAAUGAGAAUUGAUACAGCGAUAUGAUGGCAAUCUCUCCCUCUCUCUCUCUUUCUCUUUCUUUGUUAUGACUGAUGGGGUAACUUAGCAAGUAGAACACCUAUUAUUCAAACCCCAGCUAUCCAUAACUCCUGGUAGUAUCUUGUGUAGCCCAUUGUAAAUCUAAGUCAAUUGUACCAAUCUCCUUUUGUCAGCGCUACUCCCAGAGCACUGGCCAGAGGGAAAGAUUGUGUCUGCUCCGCUAAUAUAAUACUAGUGUUAUUCUCGUUGAAAUGAUCUUUCCUGUAUCAAGCUUUGACCCAAAACUGAGAUCAAAUCAGGGGAGUUCACUGAAUGUGUCUCUCAUUUAUGCAGUUAAGUCUCGCAGUUUAUCGGGGAAAGUGGUAGAACUGGCAAGUGUGCUUGUCUUGUUGCACGGUCAGUUUGCUGCCUUCAUAACAUGCAAAGAAAGGAGGAAACAGAUUGUAAGUAAUUAUUUAUUUGUUAUGUAAGGGAUGCGAUAUCUUCACCUUCACUUUCCUCCGCUGGCUUUUUGAAUCCUAAAAUCUGAGGGAACACUUUUCAUGCUUACUUCCUAGCAGUUGGCUGCCUGCAGCCAUAACAAAAAACAGCUGAAGUGAAACGUGUUGUCAAGCAACAAGUGGGGUGGGAAUUUAAAAAGAACACCUGUGCCUUGUUAUUACAAAUCAUAUCCACACUGGACUUCUAAUAGACCCAAUAAUACAAAUUUAGCUACACGUAAUGCAACAAAUGAAAACACCUGUAUGUGCCAUGCGGCGAUAGAUAUUGAAAGGUAGCCGGAUGUCUCGCUUUGGUCCCUCACUCUGUUGGUGGUUUCAAAACAGCAGGCUUUUUCUUUUCCUGCCUUUUAAAGUCUCCUGAAUCCUUAACUAUUUUAAUACUUAAAGAAAGGCACUAUUUACUUGACCUCCAUCACUUCUGCCAGCACAUUUGUAUCAUACCAGCUUCCCCAUCUUCUUCUCAGUAUGUAUCAGCAGUGCGGACAGAACGAGAACAGAUGAGCAUCACCAUGUCAUCUGCUACUGUCAGUAUCCCAUUUGCUUCCACUGGUCUACUUAGAGGUAAGCCCCUUUGAGUUCAGUGGGUCUUACUUCUAGGUAAGUGUGUAUAGGACUGCAGCUGAAAUCUGCCGAACAUUUCCCUUCUUUAGCCUAUAGGCAGUGUUUCAAAGCCAAUCUGAUAUAUCUGUUCAGUUCUGCGCUGCUGUAUACCUAGAUGUGAAAAAAUAUAUAUACUUUGGUAUUCUAGAAAGCAAUCAAUUUAUGCCCUGAAGCAUUGAAACCUGGUGACUUCUUGAACCUUUUUUGACCUGAGGCACAUAGCAUUCAACAUGGUUGCCGUUCGGGUAGUUAUUUAAUCCUACCAGAGCGUUUCCUUCAAUAGUUUAUAGCAGAUGCUCUGAAAAGUUUCUCUAUGCUUGAGCUUGGUUAUUUUUUCUUUAGAUACUUUCCAAGGAUGAGGUAUACUAGAGGCAACCUUUUCAUUAAGGACUCUUUUUUUGUAAUGCAGAAACUGAAGUGGCAUAAUCCCGCCACUUAUACAUGGCAGUGGCUUUUAUUUGUUUGGUUGUAGAAAAAUGGAAAGAUGUACUGUGCAGACUCAUAUCUAGCUACUCAGUAUGAAAUCCAGUAAACAAGGACACACACGUGCACACACACCAACAGAAUAAAAAUAUUUUUAAUGUAUUAUUCACCCACCUCUAGGGAUUCGCCGCUAUUCUCUAUUACUGUGCUUCCUAAAUAAAUUAUUUAAUGUUCUACAAAUAGAGCAACCCAUUCAGGUAGUAAUUCAGAUUAUACAUGGGGAACACGAAAUAUCCCCCAGAACCUCUGUAAUCAUAUCCUUUCCUGAACAGACAGCACAUUACCAUAAUAUUUAUUUAUUUUCUUCUUUUGUGUGUCUCGGGGGGGGGGAGCAUACCAUCCCACAUUUGGUUAUUGACAUUGUAAGAAGAUAAAAAAUACGCAUGGGCAUGUAUGAGGUAGUUAAAAGUAAAUCUGAAACAGUGCGCCCAUCAUAUGGACAGACAGACCUUUUCUGAAAGCUGGAUUCAUUUGGAUGAAGUACAGUGGUACCUUGGUUCUCAAACUUAAUACGUUCCAGAAGUCCGUUCCAAAACCAAAACAUUCCAAAACCAAGGCGCGCCUUCCCAUAGAAAGUAAUACAAAAUGGAUUAAUCCGUUCCAGACUUUUAAAAACAACCCCUAAAACAGCAAUUUAACAUGAAUUUUACUGUCUAACGAGACCAUUGAUCUAUAAAAUGAAAGCAAUAAACAAUGUACUGCAGUCACACAAUCAAUCAGUAGCUGAACUGGGUCCCACACAGUCAC